GAUGAACGCUGGCGGCGUGCCUAACACAUGCAAGUCGAACGAAAAGGCGCGGCGCUUGUUUGUUUCUCGUUUGGCGAAGGGGUGAGUGACACGUGAGUAUCCUGUCCCUGUCUUUGUGGUAAAUUCAGGGAAAUGGGGCGCUAAUCCCGUAUAAUCUCUUGAUCCGCAGGGUUGAUAGGUGAAAGUCGGCGGUGCUGUAUGGUAUCGAGGGUUAUCAGCUUGUUUGUGUGGUUGUGGCUUACGAGGGCUUUGACGGGUAGCCUGCGUGAGAGGGUGAACGGCCACAUUGGGACUGCGGUACGGACCAGACUCCUACGGGAGGCAGCAGUGGGGAAUAUUGCACAAUGGGCGGAAGCCUGAUGCAGAAACGCCGCGUGCGGGAUGACGGCCUUCGGGUUGUAAACCGAUUUCGACUGUGACGAAGCGUGAGUGACGGUAAUGGGUAAAGAAGCAACGGCUAACUACGUG
rnacentral:rRNA from 1 species